CUACGUGCCAGCAGCCGCGGUAAUACGUAUGUCGCAAGCGUUAUCCGGAAUUAUUGGGCAUAAAGGGCAUCUAGGCGGCCCUGUAAGUCUAGGGUGAAAACCUGCGGCUCAACCGCAGGCCUGCCCCGGAAACUACAGGGCUAGAGUAUCGGAGAGGUGGACGGAACUGCACGAGUAGAGGUGAAAUUCGUAGAUAUGUGCAGGAAUGCCGAUGAUGAAGAUAGUUCACUGGACGGUAACUGACGCUGAAGUGCGAAAGCUAGGGGAGCAAACAGGAUUAGAUACCCUGGUAGUCCUAGCUGUAAACGAUGAUUACUGGGUGUGGGCAUGAAGAGUGUCCGUGCCGAAGCAAAUGCGAUAAGUAAUCCGCCUGGGGAGUACGGCCGCAAGGCUGAAACUCAAAGGAAUUGACGGGGACCCGCACAAGCGGUGGAGCAUGUGGUUUAAUUCGACGCAACGCGAGGAACCUUACCAGAUCUUGACAUCCUG
rnacentral:rRNA from 1 species